rnacentral:rRNA from 1 species
AUAGGCGAAGCGUGCGAUUGGAUUGCACGUCUAAGCAGUAAGGCUGAGUAUUAGGCAAAUCCGGUACUCGUUAAGGCUGAGCUGUGAUGGGGAGAAGACAUUGUGUCUUCGAGUCGUUGAUUUCACACUGCCGAGAAAAGCCUCUAGAUAGAAAAUAGGUGCCCGUACCGCAAACCGACACAGGUAGUCAAGAUGAGAAUUCUAAGGUGAGCGAGCGAACUCUCGUUAAGGAACUCGGCAAAAUGACCCCGUAACUUCGGGAGAAGGGGUGCUCUUUAGGGUUAACGCCCAGAAGAGCCGCAGUGAAUAGGCCCAAGCGACUGUUUAUCAAAAACACAGGUCUCUGCUAAACCGUAAGGUGAUGUAUAGGGGCUGACGCCUGCCCGGUGCUGGAAGGUUAAGAGGAGUGGUUAGCUUCUGCGAAGCUACGAAUCUAAGCCCCAGUAAACGGCGGCCGUAACUAUAACGGUCCUAAGGUAGCGAAAUUCCUUGUCGGGUAAGUUCCGACCCGCACGAAAGGCGUAACGAUUUGGGCACUGUCUCAACGAGAGACUCGGUGAAAUCAUAGUACCUGUGAAGAUGCAGGUUACCCGCGACAGGACGGAAAGACCCCGUGGAGCUUUACUGUAGCCUGAUAUUGAAAUUCGGCACAGCUUGUACAGGAUAGGUAGGAGCCUUUGAAACGUGAGCGCUAGCUUACGUGGAGGCGCUGGUGGGAUACUACCCUAGCUGUGUUGGCUUUCUAACCCGCACCACUUAUCGUGGUGGGAGACAGUGUCAGGCGGGCAGUUUGACUGGGGCGGUCGCCUCCUAAAAGGUAACGGAGGCGCUCAAAGGUUCCCUCAGAAUGGUUGGAAAUCAUUCAUAGAGUGUAAAGGCAUAAGGGAGCUUGACUGCGAGACCUACAAGUCGAGCAGGGUCGAAAGACGGACUUAGUGAUCCGGUGGUUCCGCAUGGAAGGGCCAUCGCUCAACGGAUAAAAGCUACCCCGGGGAUAACAGGCUUAUCUCCCCCAAGAGUUCACAUCGACGGGGAGGUUUGGCACCUCGAUGUCGGCUCAUCGCAUCCUGGGGCUGUAGUCGGUCCCAAGGGUUGGGCUGUUCGCCCAUUAAAGCGGUACGCGAGCUGGGUUCAGAACGUCGUGAGACAGUUCGGUCCCUAUCCGUCGUGGGCGUAGGAAAUUUGAGAGGAGCUGUCCUUAGUACGAGAGGACCGGGAUGGACAUACCUCUGGUGUACCAGUUGUCGUGCCAACGGCAUAGCUGGGUAGCUAUGUGUGGACGGGAUAAGUGCUGAAAGCAUCUAAGCAUGAAGCCCCCCUCAAGAUGAGAUUUCCCAACUUCGGUUAUAAGAUCCCUCAAAGAUGAUGAGGUUAAUAGGUUCGAGGUGGAAGCAUGGUGACAUGUGGAGCUGACGAAUACUAAUCGAUCGAAGACUUAAUCAA